GUGACACUAAUCCUUUGAUUGGUAUAUCUACGUGCCCCUUCCAACAAACAAUUAUCGGCAAUAAUUUUGAUUAAUUAAAAGAUUAAUUACCCCUUGUGGCUUCCUGAGUGAAGGUGUCAUACACUGGCCAACUGGACAGUAUAAAUUUAAUCUGCCUGGAGACAUUUAUUAGUGGUCAAACACCGUGAAAAUUACCGCUAAAUAUGAGGUGAUAAAAUACAAGAUUCAGCGAAUGUUUCAGGUAAACGACGUGGGUAAUUGUCAUUACUUAACAAAGCUUUAUUCUUUUCUGUGACCGAUUGAAUGAACGAUGCCUAAAUACUUAAAAAAGAUAGAAAAACAGUUAAUAAUUAUUGACAUUCUGACUUUGUUUAUGGUGUCAUUAAAUUUGCAAGUUGUAAUUACCGGUUAUAUGGCCUAUAGGUUGUAUGCUACUAUGUAAAUUAAAAAAAAAAGAAAUACGUUUGCUGAUCAAUGCCCCACCUUCAAAUGAAAAGUGUCCCGGAAAUGAGUCUUAAAAUUAUGGCAUGUAUGGUCAUUGUAUUGACGGCAAAAACAACGGAAUUACACGAAAUUAUGAAAAUCGAGCACAUGUUACUGACGUAGUACACAUGUUUAUUGAUGUAGUACACAUGUUUAUUGCGUAGUACACAGGUCUAUUGAGCGCGCAAUAUUCAAAGACGGCAAAAACUUCGUCUCAUAUCAACAGUGAACUGAUGAUAUCAUCUCCCCAAUAAAGAUAUACAACAAGGAAGGUGAAAUUGCUCAAGCAAAUUAUCAGAAGAAGACCUCGGUGAAAUUCACUGUCCUGCUGACAGUGUCCAAUGUGAAAGUUCAUCGAAAAGGCAGGAACUGCUAGGGGUUGUGUGGUUGAGGCUAGAUCUGACGGAUGGGAGGAUGAGUGCAGAAGCCUGCGUAGAAAGAUUCGGCGCAUGGAGGAGCGAAUUACUGCUUUAGAGAGUCAGAAUACAAAAGUGGAGGACCCCGAAUUAUAAGCUGUGGAACAUCUAAGUGAUACUCAAGAAGUCUUGGUUACAU